GACAGAGGGGCCGAGCGUUAGGCGGAAUCACUGGGCGUAAAGCGUGUGUAGGCGGAUCGUUAAGUACCUUGUGAAAUCCCCCGGCUCAACCGGGGAACUGCUGGGUAUACUGGCGAUCUUGAGCAAUCUAGGGGCAGAUGGAACAAGUGGUGGAGCGGUGAAAUGCGUAGAUAUCACUUGGAACGCCAAAGGUGAAAACAGUCUGCUGGGGAUUUGCUGACGCUGAGACACGAAAGCCAGGGGAGCGAACGGG
rnacentral:rRNA from 1 species